rnacentral:rRNA from 1 species
GACGAACGCUGGCGGCGUGCUUAACACAUGCAAGUCGAACGGAAAGGCCUUUUCGGAGGUACUCGAGUGGCGAACGGGUGAGUAACACGUGGGUGAUCUGCCCUGCACUCUGGGAUAAGCCUGGGAAACUGGGUCUAAUACCGGAUAGGACCGCACUUUAGUGUGUGUGGUGGAAAGUUUUUUCGGUGUAGGAUGAGCCCGCGGCCUAUCAGCUUGUUGGUGGGGUAAUGGCCUACCAAGGCGGCGACGGGUAGCCGGACUGAGAGGUUGGUCGGCCACAUUGGGACUGAGAUACGGCCCAGACGCCUACGGGAGGCAGCAGUGGGGAAUAUUGCACAAUGGGCGCAAGCCGGAUGCAGCGACGCCGCGUGGGGGAUGACGGCCUUCGGGUUGUAAACUCCUUUCGCCAGGGACGAAGCGUUUUGUGACGGUACCUGGAGAAGAAGCACCGGCUAACUACGUG